UUUCCUACAAUUCCCCUGUGGGAGAGGAGCUGGAGUGGGCAAAUUAUUUACUUGGAGGUCUUUCUUUCUUUUACCUUUUUUAUCAGACACAACGCAGAAUCACACCGGUUACAUUAAG